rnacentral:lncRNA from 1 species
GGGAAUUUUGCCUCAUGCUCAAAAAUGUACCUCUAGGGGUUGAGACUUAAGGGGAGGGAGUGCCUAGUAAGAUGGGUGGAACCUGCUAUGCCUCAGGAGCAGAAAGUUUAGAGUGGCUCCCUUGGUUCUCAGCAGGGUGGCAACAUCCGGGGUCCCUGGGCCCGAGGCUGGAAGAGCCUCUGGACAGGUUUGGGAACCAUCAGGUCAGAUCUGGAAGAACUCUGGGAACUACGGGGGCACCACUAUCUGCACCAGGAAUCCCUAAAGCCAGCCCCAGUACUGGUAGAGAAGCCUCUGCCAGAGUGGCCAGUGCCUCAGUUCAUCAACCUCUUUCUACCAGAGUUUCCCAUUAGGCCCAUUAGGGGGCAGCAGCAGCUGAAGAUUUUAGGCCUCGUGGCUAAAGGCUCCUUUGGAACUGUCCUCAAGGUGCUAGAUUGCACCCAGAAAGCUGUAUUUGCAGUGAAGGUGGUGCCCAAGGUAAAGGUCCUACAGAGGGAUACCGUGAGGCAGUGCAAAGAGGAGGUUAGCAUCCAGCGACAGAUCAACCAUCCCUUUGUACACAGCUUGGGGGACAGCUGGCAGGGAAAACGGCACCUUUUCAUUAUGUGUAGCUACUGCAGCACAGAUCUGUA